CCUGCAGAUGGUCUCCCAUCCAUUCCACACAUCACUCAGUCACAGUGAUGUCACAAAGUCAUCCUUCUGCUCAAGCACCUGUGCUUGUUACUCCAUCCCAAUGGACAGGCUAGAAGCAUCUCUCACUUUGGGUUCAAAAAGCAGCAGGUCUGCGGCUGCUCUCCUAGAGAUGAGAUUGCUCUGGGACUCCUGCAUUAGACAAAGUUAACAGCGCGUGGCAGCAGCAAGAUUGAAGUUCUGAAUCAAUUUCCUUCAUGUCAACUUGGUCAGUUAUUUCAAGUAAAGCUUGCAAUUACUAAAUAAAGCAUCAAAAAGCAAUGAAAUGAA